rnacentral:rRNA from 1 species
CCUACGGGCGGCAGCAGUGAGGAAUAUUGGUCAAUGGACGAGAGUCUGAACCAGCCAAGUAGCGUGAAGGAUGACUGCCCUAUGGGUUGUAAACUUCUUUUAUAUGGGAAUAAAACGUUCCACGUGUGGGAUUUUGUAUGUACCAUAUGAAUAAGGAUCGGCUAACUCCGUGCCAGCAGCCGCGGUAAUACGGAGGAUCCGAGCGUUAUCCGGAUUUAUUGGGUUUAAAGGGAGCGUAGGUGGAUUGUUAAGUCAGUUGUGAAAGUUUGCGGCUCAACCGUAAAAUUGCAGUUGAAACUGGCAGUCUUGAGUACAGUAGAGGUGGGCGGAAUUCGUGGUGUAGCGGUGAAAUGCUUAGAUAUCACGAAGAACUCCGAUUGCGAAGGCAGUUCACUGGACUGCAACUGACACUGAGGCUUGAAAGUGUGGGUAUCAAACAGGAUUAGAUACCCCUGUAGUC